rnacentral:lncRNA from 1 species
CAAUCACCAUCUCCAUGAUGAUCCUAUGAUCAGGAGCAAUUUAAGAAUCAACCAUCAAUGACAUAUGCCUCAAAUUUUUAACUUUUUGAGAAUAUAUGUCAUCAUCUUGUUAAUCUCUUGGAUGAUUCAUAGACACAUAGACAUAAAUGAUAAUAUAACUGCCCAAUAAGUACAAAAUCAUAUCCUAGAGAUAUAAAAUAUGUCAGUCA